rnacentral:rRNA from 1 species
UACGGAGGGUGCGAGCGUUAUCCGGAAUUACUGGGCGUAAAGGGCGCGUAGGCGGCAUGGCAAGUCGGGAGUGAAAGGCCUGGGCUCAACCGAGGAACUGCUUUCGAGACUGCCAAGCUAGAGUGCGGAAGGGGCAUCUGGAAUUCCCAGUGUAGCGGUGAAAUGCGUAGAUAUUGGGAAGAACACCUGAGGCGAAGGCGGGAUGCUGGGCCGACACUGACGCUGAGGCGCGAAAGCCAGGGGAGCAAACGGG